GGGGAAUAUUGGGCAAUGGGCGAAAGCCUGACCCAGCAACGCCGCGUGAGGGAAGAAGGUUUUCGGAUUGUAAACCUCUGUCGCAGAUGACGAAGAAAGUGACGGUACCAUAGGAGGAAGCCCCGGCUAACUACGUGCCAGCAGCCGCGGUAAUACGUAGGGGGCAAGCGUUAUCCGGAAUUACUGGGCGUAAAGGGUGCGUAGGCGGUUUAUCAAGUCAGGGGUGAAAGGCUACGGCUCAACCGUAGUGAGCCUCUGAAACUGGUGAACUUGAGUGUAGGAGAGGAAAGUGGAAUUCCCAGUGUAGCGGUGAAAUGCGUAGAUAUUGGGAGGAACACCAGUGGCGAAGGCGACUUUCUGGACUACAACUGACGCUGAGGCACGAAAGCGUGGGGAGCAAACA
rnacentral:rRNA from 1 species